UGGGGAAUCUUGCGCAAUGCGCGAAAGCGUGACGCAGCAACGCCGCGUGGGGGAAGACGGCCUUCGGGUUGUAAACCCCUUUCAGGAGGGACGAAGGUUCGCCGGUGAACAGCCGUGCGGAUUGACGGUACCUCCACAAGAAGCUCCGGCUAACUACGUGCCAGCAGCCGCGGUAAUACGUAGGGAGCAAGCGUUGUCCGGAAUCAUUGGGCGUAAAGCGCGCGUAGGUGGCCAUUUAAGUCCGCUGUGAAAGUCAAAGGCUCAACCUUUGAAAGCCGGUGGAUACUGGAUGGCUAGAGUACGGAAGAGGCGAGUGGAAUUCCUGGUGUAGCGGUGGAAUGCGCAGAUAUCAGGAGGAACACCAAUAGCGAAGGCAGCUCGCUGGGACGUUACUGACACUGAGGCGCGAAAGCGUGGGGAGCGAACAGGAUUAGAUACCCUGGUAGUCCACGCCGUAAACGAUGGGUACUAGGUGUGGGAGGUGUCGACUCCUCCCGUGCCGU
rnacentral:rRNA from 1 species